GACGAACGCUGGCGGCGUGCUUAACACAUGCAAGUCGAACGGAGUGGCGAACGGGUGAGUAACACGUGGGUGAUCUGCCUUGCACUCUGGGAUAAGCUUGGGAAACUGGGUCUAAUACCGGAUAGUGCAAGAUGAGCUCGCGGGCUAUCAGCUUGUUGGUGGGGUAAUGGCCUACCAAGGCGUCGACGGGUAGCCGGCCUGAGAGGGUGUACGGCGACAUUGGGACUGAGAGACGGCCCAGACUCCGACUGGAGGCAGCAGGUGGGAAUAUUGCACAAUGGGCGGAAGCCUGAUGCAGCGAGGCCGCGGGGGGGAAGACGGCCUUCGGGUUGUAAACUCCGUUCGACAGGGACGCGGUACCUGUAUAGGAAGCACCGGCUAACUACGUGCCAGCAGCCGCGGUAAUUC
rnacentral:rRNA from 1 species